rnacentral:rRNA from 1 species
GAUGAACGCUAGCGGCAGGCUUAACACAUGCAAGUCGAGGGGUAGAGGUUGCUUGCAACCUUGAGACCGGCGCACGGGUGCGUAACGCGUAUGCAACCUACCUUAUACAGAGGGAUAGCCCAGAGAAAUUUGGAUUAAUACCUCAUAGUAUAUAGUCUUCGCAUGUUGACUAUAUUAAAGUUCCAACGGUAAAAGAUGGGCAUGCGUCCUAUUAGCUAGAUGGUAAGGUAACGGCUUACCAUGGCAACGAUAGGUAGGGGUCCUGAGAGGGAGAGCCCCCAAACUGGUACUGAGACAAGGACCAGACUCCUACGGGAGGCAGCAGUGAGGAAUAUUGGACGAUGGGCGCAAGCCUGAUCCAGCCAUGCCGCGUGCAGGAAGAAGCAUCUAUGGUGUGUAAACUGCUUUUGUACAGGAAGAAACACCCCGACGUGUCGGGACUUGACGGUACUGUAAGAAUAAGGAUCGGCUAACUCCGUGCCAGCCGCCGCCGUAACAC